rnacentral:tRNA from 1 species
GGGGUUAUAGCUCAGCUGGGAGAGCGCCUGCUUUGCACGCAGGGGGUCAGCGGUUCGAUCCCGCUUAACUCCACCA